AUGUUUGUUUUCACUUCUUGCUCCAUUCUCCAGCCUGCUAAGCUUCAGUCAGUGACCCACCAAUCUCCCUUUCUUACCAGGUCUGACUCUGGUUAUAGGGACAGAUCUGCAGAUGCUGUAGACAAGCUGCAACAACGGUACGAGGCUUCUCCCUACACAGAUGAUGCAAAGUCUGAACCUGCAAGAUCAGAGCCUGGUGCUGGUAUUCACAGUGCUGCUGCUAGCAGCAGGUCUGGUUUGCAGUCUGAUGUCGCUUCUCCCACCGAGGGCACCCCUGCACACCUUGAGGACACAGAAUAUUCCUUUAAAAGGUUAGAAUGGGAUAAAUUAAUGGGUGUAUGAAUAACAGUGAGGAUUAAGGGAAGAGAAGCAGAGAAAGAGGCUUCUUCUUACAGCUUUUGUCCCAAGAAUAAUAGGGACUGUGCUGAGGUCUACAGGGCAUCGUGCAACAACAACAAAAGUGCUUCCAUCUUCUUAGAUGUGAAUCAAGCACUCCAGCUUUUUUCUCCUCUUGAUGCAUCCAUUCAUGAAGGGGUUUAGUCACAGCUUCCUCAUUUGCUGAGAAUGGUGGACUGCUAAGCAAUGCUGAAGUGGCAGCAAGGGAGCUGAAAGGUAGCUGGAAUAGGAGGAGUAUGCUAAAAUGCGACUAAUUAUGGUCCCUAGAGAGAGACCCUGGUGCAGGACAGUGAAUGGUACAGCUUGUCAGGAGAAUUGUCUUGUGAGCAGAUUAUACUUACCAGUGUGAUUAUUUGUAUGCCAGUUAUUAAAGAAAUAACGGGCCUUUCUUUGCUUGCCAGAUCUGUCCUGAACUAUGAGGAGAGAAGUAGCACCCAAGAGAACAGAUUCAUGAACUCCACAGUCCCAGCAUACAGCAAGCCUGACUGGAACGAAGCAAAGUAAGGACCUGGGGUGCUAAGCUCCUGUUUUCUAAUGUUCUUUUUCACUGCUGGAAACCUUAGAGGUGCUGAUUCCAAAAGAAAUAAGAAGAAAUAAGAAGCACAAAAACAACAGAAUAAUAAAGGCUGUUUGUCCAAGAAGUUACA
rnacentral:lncRNA from 1 species